rnacentral:lncRNA from 1 species
CUGGCCCAUGUAUCAAUUUGUUCAAUUGGUAAAAUUUUGAUAAAUUACCAUUAUUGAGAAUUGGAUGAAUUAGGCUUGAAAUUGAUAGAAAUUAAGGUUAGAUUAUGAAAAGAUUAAAUUGUAAAGCUUAGUAAGCUUAAUUGUUAACCUUGUUAUAUUAGGGAUCAAAUUGAAUAAAAUGAAAUUUUUUAUGAAAUUAUACUAGGAAUAGAAAGUAUAAUGUCCCUAAUGAAUAAAUGUGAAAUUAGAUUUUAAUUCGAAGCCC